rnacentral:rRNA from 1 species
GUACACUCCUACGGGAGGCAGCAGUGGGGAAUAUUGGACAAUGGGCGCAAGCCUGAUCCAGCCAUGCCGCGUGAGUGAUGAAGGCCCUAGGGUUGUAAAGCUCUUUCACCGGUGAAGAUAAUGACGGUAACCGGAGAAGAAGCCCCGGCUAACUUCGUGCCAGCAGCCGCGGUAAUACGAAGGGGGCUAGCGUUGUUCGGAUUUACUGGGCGUAAAGCGCACGUAGGCGGACUAUUAAGUCAGGGGUGAAAUCCCGGGGCUCAACCCCGGAACUGCCUUUGAUACUGGUAGUCUUGAGUUCGAGAGAGGUGAGUGGAAUUCCGAGUGUAGAGGUGAAAUUCGUAGAUAUUCGGAGGAACACCAGUGGCGAAGGCGGCUCACUGGCUCGAUACUGACGCUGAGGUGCGAAAGCGUGGGGAGCAAACAGGAUUAGAAACCCCAGUAGUCCCAUGA